AAGGAGUCUUGCUCUGUUGCCCAGGCUGGGCUCACUGUAGCUUUGACCCCCCAGACUCAGUCAUCCUCUCACCUCAGCCUCCAGAAUCGCUGGGACCACAGCCAUGUGAGUAAUAGUGACCUCAUCACAAAAAAGAAAAAAAGAAAAAAAAACUCGCAUAAACUCUGCUACAGGAAUGCACGUGUUUUUCGGACCCAGACUUUUUUUUUUCCUGUUUGAUUUAUCUCUCUAUUAUUGGAGAUUUUACUUUUUCUUCCUGGUUUGCACAUGCUGGUCUUAUCAAGAGAGAAGUACUUCUGUCCCAUGUUCACCACUUCCAUAGAAACAAUUCUCUCCAAUCUUUCUAAUAUGAGAAAAGCUGGAAGACAGAAAUGAAAAAAACAAUUUAAAUUGGAAUAAAGAUUUUUGUUUUUUUUAAAAGCGCACAUCCACUUCAGCUGACAAGAUGAUUCCUGAAGAAAUCAGAACAGACAAAGAAGCAAGACAGAGAGAAUAGGAACCUCAGCUCUUUUGAAAUUCCACCUAAGUUCAAUGCAUCACCUUUGCUGGCCAAGGCAUCUUGUCAGUCACGGCGUGAAGCUCCACUCUUCUGCUGGCAGAAACAGACCUCAUGAUAGCAAAUGGCAUCUGCGUGUCCUUCUUCUUGGUCUAGUUGCUGCAAGACCCUCUCGCUGCACCAUCUGUUCCUCGGCUGGAGCUUGAGCCACACAAGGCCGCAGUUCCCAAACAAAUGCCUCCUUGGGGUGAAGAAAACGAGAAUGAGUGAGGUACAGUGGCCAUUCUCUUCCAACAGCUUCUAGAGCUGCUGAUAGAACUGUUUUGGUUUUUACCAUCCUGUCUCCCCAGGUCCCUCUCAACAGUCCCUGAUGAAGAAAAUCUGAUAAGCAGUACAGUCCCUGUAAGCAGUAUAGUCCCUGUUUUACUCCGGCUUGACUACAUCAGCUCUCCUCCCUCAACCUGAGUUCUUUUGCCCUGAGGCUCCCUUGGUCUUUCCUACUGACCCUCUCCUGAAGGAAAUUCCCCCACCAGACUUUCAGAUAUGCCUCCAUGUGACAGAUUCCUAGCCCUUAGCCCCGCUACUGCACAAGAAACUAAAAUACAGGCAGACCAUAAUCCAUGCUCUAUUUUAAAUUAUAUCUCUGAUGUUAUAGAUUGACUGCUUAUUUAAUUGGAAACCUAUGGGAUUCACUCACUUUCCUUGUUUCUCUCUUUUUUUUAAACAACUAAACAGUUUGAGAGACACAAAAAUUAAAUUGUGGUGAUUAAUUAUGGAAUUAGUGUUUUUAACAUUUAUCCCUAAAAGUAACAUUGAAACAAUCUGAUGCAAUUUUGAAAUUAGUAAUUCAAUCCUCUAGAAUUGAUUUAAGGCUUAAAAAACUCUAAACCUUUAACUCAAAUCUAAGUCAUGCAUCACUUAACGAUGGGCAUACAUACUGAGAAAUGUGUCAUUAGGCAAUUUCAUCCUUGUGCAAAAAUCAUAGAGUGGACUCACACAAGCCUAGAUGGUAUAGCCUACUUAGCCUAUGUUAGUGGAAAAACCGAGCUCUGUAAAAUAUUUUAAAGAGGUUUAUUCUGAGCCAAUAUGCAUGACCAUAGUCUGGGGAAAUGUGCAAACCCAAGAAGCCUUCACUAAGUGGUCCCAAGACAGCUAGGUCACAACUCUGUUUCAUACAUUUUAGGGAAGCAGAAGUUACAGGUAGUCAUAAAAUCAAAAUAUAUGGGGGUCAUGCAUUUGUUUGGCCCCCCAAAAGUGGGAUACCUUGAAGUGGGAGGCGGGGGCUUACAGGUCAUAGAUGGAUUUAGAGAUUCUUUAAUUUGCAGUUGGUUAAAGGAGUAAAGCUUUGUCUAAAAACUUAGAAGAAAGGAAUGUUUGAAGUUGAGAUAAGGAAGUCUGUUAACCAAUACAGAGUGAGCUAUAAGGGGUGUGUGACUUAACCCUUGUCCGGUAUGGCCUUAGGUCCUGUUUAUAAUGUGGUGUCUUAUUGUCACAAAGAGACUGUUUUGUUCAUCUUAUGAUCUCUAUUCUAACAUUAAUGCUGGUCAAUUGUGCCUAAACUGCAAAAGAGAGGGGACAUAACAAGACAUGUCUAACCUCCCUUCCCAUCAUGGCUGGGAAUUCAAUUUUUGAGGUUUCCUGGGGUCUCCUUGGCCAAGAGAGUGUCUGUUCAGUUAGUAGGGGCUUAGCAUUUUAUUUUUAGUCUAUAGCUAUAUGCUUUAGCCUAUUGCUCCUAGGUUACAAAUGUGCAUGGCAUGUUACUGUACUGAAUACUGGAUACAGCUGUAACACAAUGAUUACAUAUUUGUGUAUCUAAACAUACCUAAACAUAAGGUAAUUUGUUGUGCUACGACAUUAUGAUGGCUACAACGUCACUAGGCAAUAGAAAUUCUUUAGCUCCAUUAUAAUCUUAUGUGGUCCAUCAUUGACUGGACCGUCACAAUGCAGCACAUAACUGUAAUGUGAUUUUAAGAAUUUUCACUUUUUGGUCACCCCUUCAGAACACCUUAUAGUGUAUAAAUUGGUAAAGAAAAAAUUAUUCUGACACUUGUUAAAAUGGUAAUAUAGGGGAGAGAAAGUAAUAUCUUUUCCUUACCCAUUGCAAGAUUUAUGGCUGACAUCCCUAUAACGAAAGAUGGAUUAACAAGAGAAAAGCACAACAAAUUUAUUUCAUCAAAGUUUUUAGGUGACACAAGAGCCUUCAGAAAUGAAGACUCAAUGACCCAAGGGAAACUGUAUUUUUAUGGACGGUUAUGCAGAAGUGUGAUUAGAGGACAAAGGGUAUGACCUGUGUAUUAGUCUAUUUUGCCUUACUACAAAAGAAUACCUGAGACUGGGUAAUUUAUAAAGAAAAGAGGUUUAUUUGGCCCUCUUCUGCAGACUCUAUAAGAAGGAUGGUGCCAGCAUCUGCAUCUGGUGAGGUCCUCAGGAAGCUUACAAUCAUGGCGGAAGGCAAAGGCAGAGCAGGCGUGUCACAUGGCGAGAGAAGGAGCCAGAGAGGGGGAGGAGGUGCCAGGCUCUUAAAUAAUCAACUCUUGUAUGAACUGAUAGAGUGAGAACUCACUCAUUACCAUAAUGACAGCACCACGCCAUUUAUGAGGGAUCUGCCCCCAUGACCCAAACACCUCCCACUAGGCCCCACCUCCAACAGUGGGGAUCACAUUUCAGCAUGAGAUUUGGAAGGGACAAAUAUCCAAACCUCAUCAAUCUGUUAAAGAAAAUUGAUGGGAGGCCAUUGUUUUGGACUGAGUUCCUGCACCAAAAAACAGUAGAUUCACAGCAACCAAUUACACAGGGCCCAGUUUACUUCAGCCAGCAUGAUAAGAAAGUCCCCUCUGUUUUAAGCCUAUAAGAAAAGUAACUUUAUGAUGACCAAUCCAGUUUUUGCUCCUUGCUUCUCCUUUCUUCUGCCUUUUUUGCCUAUAAAGCCCAUCUCCUCUGCUCAGCUCAUCUUCAGAUGGAAUACUGCUCAAUUUAUGAGUUGAUAAUCAAAGUCAAUGAGAUCUUUAAACUACACAUGUUGAAAUUUUGUUUGUUUGACAGAUCUAAUGGUAAUAAACUUGGGGUAACUUAGCAAGGCCUGUUUGUUCAGAAUCUUCUGCCUGGCUAUAGGGCAGAUCCCCCUCUGGAAUGAAGGUCUUAUGACCCACUUUCAGGGGAGGUAGAUCAGAGAACUCUUUCUAUGGCCUCAGGGGAAAAAGGUGGAGAAGGUCAGAGUGUGAUCUUUCUGCUUCUGCUGUCUUCUCAGUUUCCAAGGUGCCAUAUUUUGGGGUAUGGUGUUGUGAGCCCCAACAGUAAGGAAGACUUUAUUCAAAACUGCAAUAGGAGAGAGAGAUCAGGCUCAACAAAGAUAGCUGGGGAUUUAUAGCCAAGGGGCAGAGUGAGGGGUCAGUGGAUAGAAAAGUAAAAAUAGGGGACAUUUGGGGUAGGAGGGUUCUUGCUGAAGGCAGGCCAGAGUGGUCAGAUAUCAAGGGUGGAGAGAUUCUUGCUAAACUGACUUAGUGUGAUUCUUGCUACAACUAGGCUAGACAGGCCAAAGUCAGGAUGGAUGCCAAGUUCUUUGAAGCUUCACUGAAAAAGGGGCUCAGGGGAGCCUGACUAAAGUUUGGUCAAAGAGAGAGUCUUUGUCACAUCGUCGUCUGUUUUAAAUCUGACUCUUGAAACUGAACAGUGCAACACAGACAGAGUCUGACCAGUGCAGGAUAGAGAACAGAUAUGUCCUUUCUGGAGAUGUAUGCUAAAUUUCUCUAGCAUGUUGACAUCGGACUGCUGUGCAGCCAUGAAGCCCCAUUAUGGAUUGGCUCGUGUGAUAUUGUGAAAGUGAACUAUAUACUUGCUCUUCAUCCCCAUUUCCUGGCAUAGAACUCCUAAAAUUUUGGAAUCUUCAAAGCAAUAAGUAUCUUUCUACGCUAAUGAGAUGACUGGUGGCUGGCAGCCCCUAGGGAGCUUCAGGAUGGGGCCUAGUCACCAGAAAAACCAAGGCAGGAUUAGAGGGUUCAGACUUUAGCCCCACCAUUCAACUUCCAGGGUUUAGUCAAUCAUGCCUACAUAAUGAAACUUCCAUAAAAGUCCAAAAGGACUGGGUUCAGAGAACUUCCAGAUAGCUGAACAUAUGGAGGUUCCUGGAUAAUGGAACAUCUAGAGAAGGUCUGGACGUUCCGUGAAUCUUCCCACGUGCCUUGCCCCAUGCAUGUCUUCAUCUGUGUCCUUUACAAUAAAUGAAAAAAUGUUGAGUAAAGUGUUUUCCUGCGUUCUGGGAGCUACUUUAGCAAAUUAAUCAAAUCCAAGGAGAGCAUCGUAAGAGCCCCAACUUGAAGCCGGUCAGUCAGAAGGACAGGUCAAACAGUCUGGAGCGUGUGAUUGGCAUCACAAGUGGAGGACAGUCUUGUGGGACUGAGCGCUCAACUCUGAGUUCUGAUGGUAUCUCCAGGUAGACAGUGUUAGAGCCGAAUUAUAAGACACAUAGCUGGCAUUCACUGCAGAACUGAUUGGUUGUUGGUGGGGAGAAAUCCCUACAUACUGGUCAGUGACCAGAGGUCACAGAAGUCUUCUGUGUUGAUUGUUGGUGAGGGAGA
rnacentral:lncRNA from 1 species